AAUAAAAUGAAAUUAUGCUUAAGGAGGCUCGAGGGUAUAAAAAUUUCAGAAAAAAAUCAAACAUUUGUGUUUCAUUACAAAUUUUAUUUAUUUCCUUUUGUAGUUGUUACUUUAUCAUAUGGUACAAAAAUCAUUCAAAACAAUCAAUUCGUGUUGGCCCCAGAUGACUUUCAAAAUGUACACAUCAUUGAAAAAGUUCCAAAUUAUCUCCCUUUGGUGGAAAAAUGCCAUUUUUAUGCCCCACAUAGGGGCAUUAUGUUUUCUGGUCUGUGCGUCCGUUCGUCCGUUCGUUCGUCCGUUCGUUCGUCCGUCUGUCCCGCUUCAGGUUAAAGUUUUUGGUCGAGGUAGCUUUUGAUGAAGUUGAAGUCCAAUCAACUUCAAACUUGGUACACAUGUUCCCUAUGAUAUGAUCUUUCUAAUUUUAAAGCCAAAUUAAACUUUUGACCCCAAUUUCACGGUCCACUGAACAUAGAAAAUGAAAGUGCAUGUUUCAGGUUAAAGUUUUUCAGGUUAAAGUUUUUGGUCAAGGUAGUUUUUGAUGAAGUUGAAGUCCAAUCAACUUGAAACUUAGUACACA
rnacentral:lncRNA from 1 species